rnacentral:rRNA from 1 species
ACGGAAGGCAGCAGUGGGGAAUAUUGCACAAUGGGGGAAACCCUGAUGUAGCGACGCCGCGUGAGUGAAGAAGUAUUUCGGUAUGUAAAGCUCUAUCAGCAGGGAAGAAAAUGACGGUACCUGACUAAGAAGCCCCGGCUAACUACGUGCCAGCAGCCGCGGUAAUACGUAGGGGGCAAGCGUUAUCCGGAUUUACUGGGUGUAAAGGGAGCGUAGGCGGCAUGGCAAGCCAGAUGUGAAAGCCCGGGGCCCAACCCCGGAACUGCAUUUGGAACUGUCAGGCUAGAGUACCGGAGAGGUAAGCGGAAUUCCUAGUGUAGCGGUGAAAUGCGUAGAUAUUAGGAGGAACACCAGUGGCGAAGGCGGCUUACUGGACGGUAACUGACGCUGAGGCUCGAAAGCGUGGGGAGCAAACAGGAUUAGAUACCCUGGUA